GGGGUUGACUUGGUUUUGACAGCAAGCAGAAACGGGUUGGAAGCAUGCCGAGCGUUGCGUUUUUUGCUCGUAAAUAUCAAUGCGCACACUUUCAUACGGCGAAAACAAUUACGCUCUUGCUGCUUAAUCACACUUAGUGCGAUUAGCUUCAUUCCUUGCUCAAGGUAGUAGGGAACGAGAUGUCUCGCCAAGGGUUCCGUCCUGUAACCCUUGACAAAUGAGGCACCGAAAAUUCAGGAAUAGCUGGGAAUACGCCUCUACCCCCCGGCGAGAUUAAGAGGAUAAGGAAUGGCUCGGGCUCUCUUCACCACGCCAUUUUCGAAAAUCAAGAGGAGAUAAGCAUGUAGAAACCAGCUGGCUUCCUUGUUUGGACCCGGGUUCGACUCCCGGCAGCUCCACAA
rnacentral:tmRNA from 1 species